rnacentral:lncRNA from 1 species
CACGAAAUUCCGGUCACCGGCCAUCCCGGUUGAAUUUCCGGAAAAAUAAUUAAUUAAAUAAUUAAUUUCGAAAAUUAAAUAAAUAAAUAUUAAAAAUCCAAUUUAGGCCUGUAUUGCCUGAUUGGAGCCCGAAACGGGUCGAGAAAAAUCCCGAGAUACAUUCAAUAAAUAGCCGAACCUUUCUACUUGCUAAUAACUAGAUCUAACCACCUAACAUGCAUCAUUAAGUCACUAAAUUAAUUGUUCUAACCUAAUCUAACCACCUAAUUGCACUUAAUUAAAUCUAACCAACCCUAAGAAUAAUUAGCAAACUAAUAAAGCAUUAGUGAGUAAAACUCACUUGACAAAAGCGGAGAUCGAAUCACCGCAACGGCGACACGACGGCGGCCGAAAUCGGACUUUCG